CAUUCACGGAGAGUUUGAUCCUGGCUCAGGACGAACGCUGGCGGCGUGCUUAACACAUGCAAGUCGAACGAUGAACCACCUCGGUGGGGAUUAGUGGCGAACGGGUGAGUAACACGUGGGCAAUCUGCCCUGCACUYCGGGACAAGCCCUGGAAACGGGGUCUAAUACCGGAUACCCGCCGCCGCCCGCAUGGGCGGCGGCGGAAAGCUCCGGCGGUGCAGGAUGAGCCCGCGGCCUAUCAGCUGGUUGGUGAGGUAACGGCUCACCAAGGCGACGACGGGUAGCCGGCCUGAGAGGGCGACCGGCCACACUGGGACUGAGACACGGCCCAGACUCCUACGGGAGGCAGCAGUGGGGAAUAUUGCACAAUGGGCGCAAGCCUGAUGCAGCGACGCCGCGUGAGGGACGACGGCCUUCGGGUUGUAAACCUCUUUCAGCAGGGAAGAAGCGCAAGUGACGGUACCUGCAGAAGAAGCGCCGGCUAACUACGUGCCAGCAGCCGCGGUAAUACGUAGGGCGCGAGCGUUGUCCGGAAUUAUUGGGCGUAAAGAGCUCGUAGGCGGCCUGUCGCGUCGGUUGUGAAAGCCCGGGGCUCAACCCCGGGUCUGCAGUCGAUACGGGCAGGCUAGAGUGUGGUAGGGGAGAUCGGAAUUCCUGGUGUAGCGGUGAAAUGCGCAGAUAUCAGGAGGAACACCGGUGGCGAAGGCGGAUCUCUGGGCCAUUACUGACGCUGAGGAGCGAAAGCGUGGGGAGCGAACAGGAUUAGAUACCCUGGUAGUCCACGCCGUAAACGGUGGGAACUAGGUGUUGGCGACAUUC
rnacentral:rRNA from 1 species